GGGGGCGUUCUGGAUUCGACAGGCGUUAUCUGCCCAUGAACUGCAACUGCUGAGGGAUCAGGAUAAUCAUCCGCAGAUAAAUAUAACUGCUAAAAAUAACACAAACACUUACGCAGUAGCUGCCUAAACCCCAGCCUGUGUCGCUUGGCUUUGCUCGCAGAUGGCAGGGCUCAAGUGCUAACUUUAGUCUGAUACGUUAGUCAGCUUGUCCUGACUGGCUAAAAGAGAUAAAGGGCAUCGCUGGAUGUUCUUCUUUGAGACUUUCUUGCUCGUCCAGUAAGAUUUAAGGAAGUCCUAUGGUUGUAGAGGUUGAUGUGUGCAAGACGCUUGGACAGGGGUUCGACUCCCCUCGCCUCCA
rnacentral:tmRNA from 1 species